rnacentral:rRNA from 1 species
UACGAAGGGUGCAAGCGUUACUCGGAAUUACUGGGCGUAAAGCGUGCGUAGGUGGUUUGUUAAGUCUGAUGUGAAAGCCCUGGGCUCAACCUGGGAAUUGCAUUGGAUACUGGCAGGCUAGAGUGCGGUAGAGGAUGGCGGAAUUCCCGGUGUAGCAGUGAAAUGCGUAGAGAUCGGGAGGAACAUCUGUGGCGAAGGCGGCCAUCUGGACCAGCACUGACACUGAGGCACGAAAGCUAGGGGAGCAAA